CCAGGGUCCCACCACCAGCACACACGGCCGAGGGGGGGGGAAGAGAGAGAGAGAGAGACCCCUCCAGACGAGAGCGGAGCCUUCCGCCGUGUAUGUGUACCUUGCCCCGCGCCCUCGGUUUCUCUCUCCGACCCCGGCUCCCGCUUCCUGCAGUGCCGGCGGCCUCGAAGAACGUGAUCCUUCCAAUCCACCCCCCUCUUCCCGAAGGGGAUCACCCUUUCCGGUGCGUGUCUGCCCUAGCAGAGGGCUGGUGCCAGUUGCCGAGGAGGCAGGAGGCGGCAACGGAGAAAGCUCCCCCUGCCUUUAUAUAUAUAUAUAUAUAUAUGGAGAGAGCGAAAGCUAAGAGAUCCUGGAAAGAGGAGGGCAGGUUUGUUGGCCCACCUUUGGCCGGGGACCCUGCCUCGCCACGCUUUGGCAGAGAAGACCUCCUUGUUGCAAAGGCGACCUCCUUUAUCGCUUGUUAUUCGGCCCCCCUCCUCCAGCAAGUCUCCUUGAUCCCCCCUCGCCUAUUCCCCUUUCCCCAAUCAGGAGCAAAACGCGGAGGCCCCGAGCGGCCCUGAUGAGGCACAGGGCCUACAAAUUGGCUGCCUUCGUUUCCUUCUCUCAAAUUGCCCCCUUCCACCCCUUGCAGCCCCCACCCCAGCCGCCUGCUCGUUCCUUACUCGCCACUGCCAGCGACAGACAACAUUAACAUUUCCUUUUUCCUUUUUCUUUCCUUGCCUUCUAGGGGAUGAUUAUUAUGGAGACCCUCACCCUGGCAGUGGAUAACAAGGUCUUUGCCUGGGGAUUUACAGGAGCAGGACUCCCUUCUCUUGCUAGGCCUAAUCCUCCAGUUUCUCAAGUUAGCAAGGCCUUUUAUUAAAUCGCUGAAUAACAGGAUACAGCAACACACAGCCGAAGAAAGGACUAAUAGGCCGGCGGGGGUCGGUGUGGUGGAUUGGUGGGGGUGCGUAAGAAGUGUUGCUAGCUUGCUGUUUCCUUAUUGAAGCAAGAGCAAGAAAGCUCACUCCAUCAUCCCAUUGUGGCCAAGGCAGCAAUCCUAAACUCAUCGCACACAUUAGAGCUUCCUUCUGCAUAGGCUUGGCCCAACCUCCCCUAUUUCCUGGGUUGAAGGGGACAUACCUUGUUUCCCUUUUCCUUUAUGGAGGCAGCUUAAGAACGAUGGUAAAGUUGGCAGGGGGUUGGUGGGGGGAGCUUAGCCUGCCUUGACAAAAUGGCUUUAAGCCUAAGAGUCUUCCACUCCCCUCUUUUGGAGCUGAUGAUACAAAGAACCACCAGAUUGUAGGUUUUGUACAUAAAUCACAUAUCUUGGUCUCGUGAGAUUUAAGGCAAGGCAACUUCGGUCAAGUCAAGACUGACCCUCCUGAAUUGGGGGAUGCAGAGGAGCUAGAGGCCUGUUUGGAAAACGGGUGUGUGUGGGGGGGCAGUGGUUUAGAAAAGUUGUUGCAGUUGAGAACCUGGAUUCAUCACAAAUCUGAUUCUUAAGAACAGGUGUGCACAAUGCAGUUUUUGUGCCAAACCAUUUUAAGUGCAGAUGAUGAUGAUGAUGAUUUUCCUGCCUUUCACCUUAGGCCCCAGGGCAGGUUACAAUCAAAAUACAUAGUUCAUAAUACACACAGUUCAUAAUAUGCACUAAAGUCUUCAAGAUACUUGCUAGGAAGUAGUGCUAUUGAACUCUGCGAGAUGAAUUUAGGAUAAGGUUACCAGAUUUUUUUCAAUGAAUUCGGGGACACUUUCAAUGGAUUUUGUAUGGGGGCUGAUUUGUAAAUCCGGGAAGUGUCCUCGGGGAAACGGGGACGUCUGGUAACCUUAAUUUAGGACUUGGCGUAAACGUGUUUAGGAUUAUGGGUGGACUAGUUUCCUUCACUAGCUACUUAAUUAAAAAUGGAUUUAAAACAAUUACACCCUUAUCCCCAAAUUUGUUGUGUCAACCAUGAUGCCUGCAUUCCUCCAGAAAGCCAUGGCAGCAGAAAUGUUUAGAAAAUGAGGUAACCAGCAAGCAACAUACUCCAGUCUAAUUAAUGCACGAAGGGGUUAAUGCCAUAGAGUAUGCAGUCCCACCAGGCAUAGCUAUGUCACUUCCCCUCACCUUGGGAGGAAAUAGGUAAUCUUUCCUAUUGCCCCUAGUCUACCUGAGAAACUCACUGUGUGAGGAGGUUUGAACUGGUUGCUGCAGCUCAACUGCUUGGCUCUCACCAGCCACUCUUGAGUUCCUAUACCAAUAAUCUAGGAAUUUUUACCACUUUGUAACUAAGCUAAGUUUUACUGCCUGUGCAAGUUUUCUGACUGAUGUAUGGAAAAGUAC